AGUGAACGCUGGCGGCAGGCCUAACACAUGCAAGUCGAACGGCAGCACAGGAGAGCUUGCUCUCUGGGUGGCGAGUGGCGGACGGGUGAGGAAUACAUCGGAAUCUACUUUUUCGUGGGGGAUAACGUAGGGAAACUUACGCUAAUACCGCAUACGACCUACGGGUGAAAGCAGGGGACCUUCGGGCCUUGCGCGAUUGAAUGAGCGGAUGUCGGAUUAGCUGGUUGGCGGGGUAAAGGCCCACCAAGGCGACGAUCCGUAGCUGGUCUGAGAGGAUGAUCAGCCACACUGGAACUGAGACACGGUCCAGACUCCUACGGGAGGCAGCAGUGGGGAAUAUUGGACAAUGGGCGCAAGCCUGAUCCAGCCAUACCGCGUGGGUGAAGAAGGCCUUCGGGUUGUAAAGCCCUUUUGUUGGGAAAGAAAUCCAGCUGGCUAAUACCCGGUUGGGAUGACGGUACCCAAAGAAUAAGCACCGGCUAACUUCGUGCCAGCCGCCGCAGUAA
rnacentral:rRNA from 1 species